CGAAAGUAACAGCAAGGAUUGCGGGCGCGCGAGCAAGCGAAAAGGCGAGGGAAGAAAUAAAUAGAUAUCUAUUAUUAUCUAAUUAUUAAAUAAAAUUAAUAUCUAUUACCCUCGCCUUCCGCUCGCGCCCGCAAUCCUUGCUGUUAUUUUCG